rnacentral:ncRNA from 1 species
UUCAAUUUGAUGAUGUGGCCAAGUAAGUAAGAAUUGUGAGACAGAAAAUAUAGCAAUUGCUGAGAGCUAUAUCACCGCUUCUUUACUGAACACCUACCACGGAGAUGUUAUGCAAACAUAACCGAGUCGUUUUCGUUACCAAACGUGAGAGGGUUUUAAGUUCUACUUAAAGCUAAAUCAAGGUGGUACCACGUCUAUCCAGCACAAAGACGUCCUUAUU